AUUAGUCCUUUAAUUGAGGGCUUGCAUGAACGGCCGGACAAGAAGUGAGCUGUCUUAAGAAUAGAUUUUGAAAUUGACCUUUAAGUGAAAAGGCUUAAAUGUUUUAAAGGGACGAUAAGACCCUGUAAAGCUUAAUAAUUCUAUAUAUAAGUAGUUAGUUGUUAGUGUAAUAUUAUUUGGUUAUCGGAUUAUUUCGUUGGGGCGACGAUAAUAUAAUUUGUAACUGUUUUAAGAUUUAAUUCAAAAUGUUUGUGUUUAAUGAUCCAUUCUUGUGAUUCAAAGUUUAAGUUACUUUAGGGAUAACAGCGUUAUUUAUUUUGAGAGUUCAUAUCGACAAAAAAGUUUGCGACCUCGAUGUUGAAUUAAAAUUUUAUCAUGGCGUAGCCGCUAUGACAGCAGGUCUGUUCGACCUUUAAAUUUUUA
rnacentral:rRNA from 1 species